rnacentral:rRNA from 1 species
GUCAAAUAUAUUAAGGCUUAUGGUGGAUACCUAGGCAUUCAGAGACGAUGAAGGGCGUGGAUACCGACGAAACGCUUCGGGGAGUUGGAAACAAGCUUUGAUCCGGAGAUUCCCGAAUAGGGCAACCUAUAAGACUACUUAUUGAAUUCAUAGAUAAGUAAGAGGUAACCUGCUGAAUUGAAACAUCUUAGUAAGCAGAGGAAAAGAAAGCAAACGCGAUUUCCUUAGUAGCGGCGAGCGAAAUGGAAACAGCCUAAAUCCAUUUUAAUGGAGGUUGUGGGAAGAAACAUUAAACUAGUUCAAGUUUUAAAACGAAGCAGCUGAAUCCUGCACCAAAGAUGGUGAAAGUCCAGUAGUUAAAUAAAGUCAGAAUUAGGUUUCUUAUCCCGAGUAGCAUGGGACACGUGAAAUCCCGUGUGAAUCAGCGAGGACCACCUCGUAAGGCUAAAUACUCCUGAAUGACCGAUAGCGAACUAGUACCGUGAGGGAAAGGUGAAACAGAACCCCUGGAGGGGAGUGAAAUAGAACAUGAAACCGUAAGCUGACAAUCAGUGGGAGCGAAAGUGACCGCGUGCCUGUUGAAGAAUGAGCCGGCGACUUAUAAGGAGUGGCAGGUUAAAGUUUUUAACUGGAGCCAAAGCGAAAGCAAGUCUGAAUAGGGCAUGAGUCACUUCUUAUGGACCCGAACCCGAGUGAUCUAACCAUGGCCAGGAUGAACCUUGGGUAACACCAAGUGGAAGACCGAACCGACUGAUGUUGAAAAAUCAGCGGAUGAGCUGUGGUUAGGGGUGAAAUUCCAGUCGAACUCGGAGCUAGCUGGAUCUCCUCGAAAUGUGUUGAGGCGCAGCGGUUGAUGAUGGGCUAUUUAGGGGUAAAGCACUGUCUCGGUGCGGGCUGCGAAAGCGGUACCAAAUCGUUGCAAACUAAUAAUACUAAAUAUGCUUUCCAUCAACCAGUAAGACAGUGGGGGAUAAGCUUCAUUGUCAAAAGGGAAACAGCCCAGAUCACCAGCUAAGGCCCCAAAGUGGCCGCUAAGUGAUAAAGGAGGUGAGAAUGCCGAGACAACCAGAAGGUUUGCUUAGAAGCAGCCAUCCUUGAAAGAGUGCGUAAUAGCUCACUGGUAGAGCGUUCUUGCGCCGAAAAUGAACGGGACUAAGCGGCCCGCCGAAGCUGUGGGAUUGAAAAUCAAACAUUUUGAAUCGGUAGAGGAGCGUUCCGCUAUAGGGUGAAGUAGUAACGUGAGUUAUUAUGGACGAAGCGGAAGUGAGAAUGUCGGCUUGAGUAACGAAAACAUUGGUGAGAAUCCAAUGCCCCGAAAACCUAAGGGUUCCUCCACAAGGCUCGUCCAUGGGGGGUUAGUCAGGACCUAAGGCGAGGCCGAAAGGCGUAGUCGAUGGAAAACAGGUCAACAUUCCUGUACUGAUUUAAGUUUUGUAACGAGGGACGAAAGAGGCGGCGACUAGCUAGAUAUUGGUAUUCUAGUUGAAAUUUUAACCUGUUGAGAGAUUGAAGAAAAACCUUUCUUGAGGGGAGAAAUGAUCUUGCAGCUGUUUUUAUUUUUUAAAUGAAAAUGAUUGCUUAGUCUUAGUCAUAUUUCCAAGAAAAGCUCGGAUUACUUUAUAAUUUAAAUUACCUGUACCCUAAACCGACACAGGUAGGUAGGUAGAGAAUACUAAGGGGCGCGAGAUAACUCUCUCUAAGGAACUCGGCAAAAUGGCCCCGUAACUUCGGGAGAAGGGGUGCGAGGUAAAACUCGUCGCAGUGACCAGGCCCAGGCGACUGUUUAUCAAAAACACAGGUCUCCGCAAAGUCGUAAGACAACGUAUGGGGGCUGACGCCUGCCCAGUGCCGGAAGGUAAAAGAAGUUGGUUAUUCCUUGGAAGAAGCUGACGACUGAAGCCCCGGUGAACGGCGGCUGUAACUCUGACAGUCCUAAGGUAGCGAAAUUCCUUGCCAAGUAAGUUUUGGCCCGCACGAAAGGCGUAACGAUCUGGGCACUGUCUCGGAGAGAGACUCGGUGAAAUAGAAAUGUCUGUGAAGAUGCGGACUACCUGUACCAGGACAGAAAGACCCUAUGAAGCUUGACUGUAGCUUGGAAUUGGAUUCGGGCUCUUUUUGCGCAGUCUAGGUGGGAGGCGUUGAUCAUAGGUUUUCGGACCUAUAGGAGCCAUCAGUGAGAGACCACUCUGAAAGAGCUAGAAUUCUAAUAGCACUCCUUGAAUCAGGAUGCUUGACAGUUUCAGGCGGACAGUUUGUCUGGGGCGGAUGCCUCCUAAAAGGUAACGGAGGCGUGCAAAGGUUCCCUCAGGCUGGACGGAAAUCAGCUGUAGAGUGUAAAGGUAGAAGGGAGCUUGACUGCAAGACCAACAAGUCGAGCAGGGGCGAAAGCCGGCCUUAGUGAUCCGACGGUACCGAGUGGAAGGGCCGUCGCUCAACGGAUAAAAGUUACUCUAGGGAUAACAGGCUGAUCUCCCCCAAGAGUUCACAUCGACGGGGAGGUUUGGCACCUCGAUGUCGGCUCAUCGCAACCUGGGGCUGUAGUCGGUCCCAAGGGUUGGGCUGUUCGCCCAUGAAAGCGGUACGUGAGCUGGGUUCAGAACGUCGUGAGACAGUUCGGUCCAUAUCCGGUAUAGGCGUAAGAGCAUUGAGAGGAGCUCAACAUUGUACGAGAGGACCCGAAGGGACGUACCGAUGGUGUACCAGUUCUUGUGCCAACAGGAAACGCUGGGUAGCUAUGUACGGAGUGGAUAAUCGCUGAAAGCAUCUAAGUGAGAAGCCCACCUCAAGAUGAAUGCUCUCUAUCAGAUCGCGGCAAGACAAGCCGAUGAUAGGCGUCAAGUGAAAGACAGUAAUGAUUGAAGCUGAGACGUACUAAUUGAUCGACAGAUUUUGAC